rnacentral:rRNA from 1 species
CGGACUGUUAAGUCGGUUGUGAAAGCCCUGGGCUCAACCUAGGAACUGCAUCCGAUACUGGCAAUCUAGAGUUUAAGAGAGGGAAGUGGAAUUCCAGGUGUAGCAGUGAAAUGCGUAGAUAUCUGGAGGAACAUCAGUGGCGAAGGCGACUUCCUGGCUUAAAACUGACGCUGAGGUGCGAAAGCUUGGGUAGCGAACGGGAUUAGAUACCCCGGUAGUCCAAGCCGUAAACGAUGUCAACUAGCUGUUGGCCUUAUUAAAAAGGUUAGUAGCGUAGCUAACGCGAUAAGUUGACCGCCUGGGGAGUACGGUCGCAAGAUUAAAACUCAAAGGAAUUGACGGGGGCCCGCACAAGCGGUGGAGCAUGUGGUUUAAUUCGAUGCAACGCGAAGAACCUUACCAUCCCUUGACAUCCUGCGAACUUUCUAGAGAUAGAUUGGUGCCUUCGGGAACGCAGUGACAGGUGCUGCAUGGCUGUCGUCAGCUCGUGUCGUGGGAUGUUGGGUUAAGUCCCGCAACGAGCGCAACCCUUAUCAUUAGUUGCUAACAUUCAGUUGAGAACUCUAAUGAGACUGCCGGUGAUAAACCGGAGGAAGGCGGGGACGACGUCAAGUCAUCAUGGCCCUUAUGGGAUGGGCUACACACGUGCUACAAUGGGGGGUACAAAGAGCAGCCAACUGGCGACAGUGCGCGAAUCUCAUAAAACCUCUCGUAGUCCGGAUCGGAGUCUGCAACUCGACUCCGUGAAGUCGGAAUCGCUAGUAAUCGUGAAUCAGAAUGUCACGGUGAAUACGUUCCCGGGCCUUGUACACACCGCCCGUCACACCAUGGGAGUGGGUUGCAAAGGAAGUGGGUAGUCUAACCUUCGGGAGGGCGCUCACCACUUUG